UCUAACUUAAGCAUCGGAGGGCCUUCGUCGGAUCCUCCGACCUAGGCUUCUUGCAGGUCUGCCGGAGACAGCCGUCCGCCACCAUCUGUGCCAGAAGCUCCUCCUCCUAGUUUCCGAUCACCUCCGGAUCUGAUUUCCAGCAACAACAAAUUUCACUCUGUAAUUUUUGACUCUACACAAUAUCCCAACUUAUGCUCAUAGUACUGUUAAUGCAUCCGCAUGAACAAUAGAUGGCAAAAGUAGCCUUACUUGGAGAGUGUCUCCAGUUGCAUCAGACAUACAUCGUGG
rnacentral:lncRNA from 1 species